UGGCUCAGUGGCAGAGCUCUUGCCUUGCAUGCACAAAGCUCUGGGUUUGAUUCCCAG
rnacentral:tRNA from 1 species